AACGUAGGACGCAAGCGUUAUCCGGAGUUACUGGGCGUAAAGCGCGGGCAGGCGGCUCGAAACGUCUGAUGUGAAAUCUCCUCGCUCAACGGGGAGAGGCCAUUGGAAACGGUCGGGCUGGAGGGCAGUAGAGGUAGGCGGAAUUCCGGGUGGAGUGGUGAAAUGCGUAGAGAUCCGGAGGAACACCAGAGGCGAAGGCGGCCUACUGGGCUGCACCUGACGCUGAGCCGCGAAAGCCAGGGGAGCGAACGGG
rnacentral:rRNA from 1 species